rnacentral:rRNA from 1 species
GACGAACCGAGCAAACGUUAUUCGGAAUCACUGGGCUUAAAGGGCGCGUAGGCGGGUCAGCAAGUCAGGGGUGAAAGCCCCCAGCUCAACUGGGGAAGUGCCUUUGAUACUGUUGAUCUCGAGGGAGGUAGGGGCGUGCGGAACUUCCGGUGGAGCGGUGAAAUGCGUAGAUAUCGGAAGGAACACCGGUGGCGAAAGCGGCGCGCUGGACCUCUUCUGACGAUGAGGCGCGAAAGCCAGGGGAGCAAACGGG